rfam:[Eubacterium rectale] ATCC 33656 chromosome, complete genome.
UAGCGUAGCGGCUUAGAUACUGUAGAAUUAUGCCCAUGAAACGCAGAAAUGCCCCGGCAUGGACGUCGGGGCAAGGAGAAACCGCGCCAUGGACGGCGCGUUUCGACGGUUUCGUCAAGCAUAGAAACCCUAAAAAGCAUAAUUCGUACAGUACCUUAGCUGCGUAGCGU